rnacentral:tRNA from 1 species
GGCCCAUUCGUCUAGUGGUUAGGACAUCUGGUUUUCAUCCAGAAAACAGGGUUUCGAUUACCCUAUGGGCUA